AACUGAUACUACCUGCGGGAACCUGCGGAGGGAUCAUUACUGAAGUGAUUUGGGGAUGUUGCUGGCCCUCUCUCAAGGGGGGGCACUGUGCACUCCUCGAAACAAUUCACAAUUUCCAUCACACCCCUUGUGCACACCUUGUAGGCACCCAAACCCACCUCCGGGUGGUGGGGCCCUAUGUAUUCCUUCAUCUCACACUCUGUUGAAUGGUGCCAUGGGACGCAUCUAAAGGAUUAUUUG
rnacentral:misc_RNA from 1 species